rnacentral:rRNA from 1 species
AACGAACGCUGGCGGCAUGCCUAACACAUGCAAGUCGAACGAGACCUUCGGGUCUAGUGGCGCACGGGUGCGUAACGCGUGGGAACCUGCCCUUAGGUUCGGAAUAAUCCCCGAAAGGGGUGCUAAUACCGGAUAAUGUCUUCGGACCAAAGAUUUAUCGCCUUUGGAUGGGCCCGCGUUGGAUUAGCUAGUUGGUAGGGUAAAAGCCUACCAAGGCGACGAUCCAUAGCUGGUCUGAGAGGAUGAUCAGCCACACUGGGACUGAGACACGGCCCAGACUCCUACGGGAGGCAGCAGUGGGGAAUAUUGGACAAUGGGCGAAAGCCUGAUCCAGCAAUGCCGCGUGAGUGAUGAAGGCCUUAGGGUUGUAAAGCUCUUUUACCCGGGAUGAUAAUGACAGUACCGGGAGAAUAAGCUCCGGCUAACUCCGUG